rnacentral:rRNA from 1 species
UACGUAGGGAGCAAGCGUUGUCCGGAUUCACUGGGUGUAAAGGGUGCGCAGGCGGGUGAGUAAGUCAGAGGUGAAAUCUCACAGCUUAACUGUGAAACUGCCUUUGAUACUGCUUUUCUUGAGUUCGGGAGAGGUUGAUGGAAUUCCAGGUGUAGCGGUGAAAUGCGUAGAUAUCUGGAAGAACACCAGUGGCGAAGGCGGUCAACUGGCCCGUAACUGACGCUCAGGCACGAAAGCGUGGGUAGCGAACAGG